GGAGGUUUGCCAGAACGGUAAUGGGCGAGACUUGAAAUCUCAGGCAACGUAAUCAUCCGUUGAGUGGGUUCGACUCCUACAGCCUCCUCA
rnacentral:tRNA from 1 species